GGGGAUGUAUAAAAAUCGACAGGGAAGGUUUUAGAAGGGUAGCGGAUCAGGUCGGCUAACCUGGUCGCCGAAUCGGCGGCAAAGACGCCAAAAACAAAAUGCCAAUUAUUUCGGCAAAGUCAAGGAUCGGAUAAAAUCAUUUUUUGCGAUACCCGCCUUGACUCCUCAAUUUGCAUUUGCAUAAAAGAGGUGUCUUUCUUCUCCCAUCUUAAGGCGGGAGGAUUAGGGCAAAACCAAAGCCUUGAGAAAAGAAAAAGAUUAGGUUGGGUCUUUUUCUUAAAAACUUACAACCAAACUUUAAUCUGACUGCCGAUAAGUUCAGGUUAAAGAAACUCAAAUUCGGCUAAAUCCGUAGAAGCUCUUUUAAAAAUUUCCUGGACGGGGGUGCAACACCCCCCAUCUCCACCA
rfam:Bacterium CG1_02_42_9 isolate CG1_02_42_9 cg1_0.2_scaffold_16497_c, whole genome shotgun sequence.